GUAUGACCAGAAUUUCAGAAUUACAGAAUUGAAUAGCUUUGCCAUGUCUAUCGGUGUAAACCGAUACAUGAGUAUAGUUAUUUCGGGUACCUUUUUGGUGUGACUUUUCAGUAUUGUACAGCUUAUCAGAUUUCAGAACACAGGAUUUAGCUUAUUCAGUUUAAAGAAUAAACAUUUAGCUUAAAGUACUGUGAAUGAUAUUUUUAUCAUAAACCAGUUUUUAGAAUGUUAACAUAAAUGGAAAAAGUACUUUUUAUUUACAAAAUUAUCCACUCACUGAGUCAUAGGCUCACAUUUUUAUUUUUAUUUUUACAACUUCUCUUAUCAGAUAGUAGCUGAGUUGAGUACUACUGGGCCAGUUGAUUUAUCGAGUUGAACUAUAAAUUGUCAAGCAUUGUAUGACUCAUCUUAUCGGUUUAAUAGUUCAUAUUUUGGAAUAGACACCUCUUUUGGCCAGAAAUUAGUUUCAUGUUUUGGGCCUGCUAUGUUUUGUAUAUAUUAUGCAUUUUGGGUACUGUGGUUUAUAAAUUGUUGCAAAGGUCAAAUUGCCAGUGUUGUAUUUGAAUAGUUGAUUUUCUGUGAGCCAGUGUACCCUAUUUUAAACUAUAUGUAUCUGUUUGGGAUAUUAGAUUAUAUAUUUCAGGUGGUUUUAGUCUAUAAUUCAGGGGGAACUCUGCCAAAAUUUUUACAAAGCAUAUCAUAG
rnacentral:lncRNA from 1 species